rnacentral:tRNA from 1 species
GCCUGGAUGGCGGAACCGGUAGACGCGAUGGUCUCAAACACCAUUACCGCAAGGUGUGCCGGUUCGACUCCGGCUCCAGGUACUA